GACGAACGCUGGCGGCGUGCUUAACACAUGCAAGUCGAACGGCAAGGCCCUGCUUUUGUGGGGUGCUCGAGUGGCGAACGGGUGAGUAACACGUGAGUAACCUGCCCUUGACUUUGGGAUAACUUCAGGAAACUGGGGCUAAUACCGGAUAGGAGCUCCUGCUGCAUGGUGGGGGUUGGAAAGUUUCGGCGGUUGGGGAUGGACUCGCGGCUUAUCAGCUUGUUGGUGGGGUAGUGGCUUACCAAGGCUUUGACGGGUAGCCGGCCUGAGAGGGUGACCGGCCACAUUGGGACUGAGAGAGGGACCAGAGGCCUACGGGAGGCAGCGGUGGGGAAUAUUGCACAAUGGGCGGAAGCCGGAUGCAGCAACGCCGGGUGCGGGAUGACGGCCUUCUGGUUGUAAACCGCUUUCGCCUGUGACGAAGCGGGAGUGACGGUAAUGGGUAAAGAAGCACCGGCUAACUACGUG
rnacentral:rRNA from 1 species